rnacentral:tRNA from 1 species
AAGGGAGACCUAAUUCGGGUAGGAGACGAAAAAAAAGUAGUCCCUACCAAGAAUCAAUCCCAAAAGGUCGGAGCGAGGCGAAAUUGGCUUUCAAACUAGGUUCUGGGUUCACACAAGACCUGAAUCAGGAACAAGGGCUAUUAGCUCAGGUGGUUAGAGCGCACCCCUGAUAAGGGUGAGGUCCCUGGUUCGAGUCCAGGAUGGCCCACCUGCACAGGUGGCAAAAACAAAGAAAAAAAGCUCCGAAUCAGCACCUUAUCUUACUUAUAUAGUAAGAGAGAAUGCUGGCUCUGAGUUCAGAGUCCAGAGGAACCUUGAAAACUGCAUAGAGCUAGGUGAAAAAGCCAAAAAAGAAGACCGUCA